rfam:Candidatus Wildermuthbacteria bacterium RIFCSPHIGHO2_01_FTLL_49_22b rifcsphigho2_01_scaffold_18636, whole genome shotgun sequence.
GGGGGUGACGCGAUUCGAUGGGUAGCGGAAGCUGUCAUGCGAGCUGAGGUUCCAGGGUACUCACAAAAAAACCUGGGGCACCAAAAAUGCCAACGCUUUUAAGCCGGCACAGCCGGCGUUCGCCUACGCAUAACACCGUAGACCAUCUGUUUGCUGAUUCUCGAUAGGCAAAACAGGUGUCAAUCAUCGAGAAAGGGCUGUUUCCCGUGAUCCGGGGGAACAGCGACAUAAACAGGAUCAAAAGGAAGGAAGCUUUGGUCCCGUUCUAACUCUCCUUCCCGCAAAAACGGGACUGCGCUCGGAGAUAUGUCAGACAGAAGCUAUCUAGACGGGGCUUCACCGCCCCCACCUCCACCC